ACCCAUAGAGGGNGCCAGGCCCGUAUAACGUUAAUGAUUAUUAGAUGACAUCCAAAGAGUCGUGUUGCUUGAUAGUGCAGCACUAAGGGGGGUAAACUCCAUCUAAAACUAAAUAUAACCAUGAGACCGAUAGUAAACAAGUACCGUGAGGGAAAGUUGAAAAGAACUCUGAAUAGAGAGUUAAAUAGUACGUGAAACUGCUUAGAGGUUAAGCCCGAUGAACUUGAAUAUCCGUUUUAGAAAAUUCAUCAUUAUGAUUAUAGUAUAUUAUAAAAAUGGUGUGCAUUUUUUCUAUAUGGACAUUGUAAUCUAUUAACAUAAAACAUUUAUCAAAAGAUCAGCGUAAGUUUAUUCAAAUUAUUUUAAUUGCAAUUUAACAUAGAAUAAAUGCUUUUGAUUUGAUAAAGUGUUGAUAGAUUUUACAUAUAGUGCAUAAAUAAUAUUUUAUAAUAGCAUAUUGAUUAAUAAUUUUUAUGUUUAUUAUAUGCACUUAUAUGAUUAACAAUGCGAAAGAUUCAGGAUACCUUCGGGACCCGUCUUGAAACACGGACCAAGGAGUCUAACAUAUUUGCAAGUUAUUGGGAAAAACCUAAAAGCAAAAUUAACAUAACAUAAUGGGAUUAGUUAUUAAACUAGUAUAUUAAUUCAAUCCCGGGGCGUUCUAUACAGUUAUGCAUAAUAAUAUUUAUAUUAUUUAUACCUCUAACUAGAGCGUACCUUGAGCAUAUAUGCUGUGACCCGAAAGAUGGUGAACUAUACUUGAUCAGGUUGAAGUCAGGGGAAACCCUGAUGGAAGACCGAAACAGUUCUGACGUGCAAAUCGAUUGUCAGAAUUGAGUAUAGGGGCGAAAGACCAAUCGAACCAUCUAGUAGCUGGUUCCCUCCGAAGUUUCCCUCAGGAUAGCUGGUGCAUUUAAAAUUUAUGUAAAAUAAUCUUAUCUGGUAAAGCGAAUGAUUAGAGGCCUUAGGGUCGAAACGAUCUUAACCUAUUCUCAAACUUUAAAUGGGUAAGAACCUCACCUUUCUUGGUAUGAAGGUUGUGGUUGUGAUAUAAUGUGCCCAGUGGGCCACUUUUGGUAAGCAGAACUGGCGCUGUGGGAUGAACCAAACGUAAUGUUACGGUGCCCAAAUUAACAACUCAUGCAGAUACCAUGAAAGGCGUU
rnacentral:rRNA from 1 species